CAGGAAUCAGAAGUUGAGUACAGGUGCGAGCGGUGUGGGGGCCAGGUGUCGAGCCUGAGGUGUAGUUUCUACACACUACCUCAGGUUCUCAUUUUACACCUGAAGAGGUUUUGCCCCUUCACCCUCACCAAAAGCAUGGCACCGCUUCAGCUGGAGGCAGAGCUCCAGAUCAAACAAA